UAUGUACUCCCUCCGUUCCAAAAUACUUGACUUCCAUUUGUCCAAAAAUGGAUGUACCUAUAUACUAAGACAUGUCUAGAUACAUAUAUAUUUUGACAAAUAGAAGGCAUGUAUUGUGCAACAGAGGGAGUAGAAU
rnacentral:pre_miRNA from 1 species